UACGUAGGGUGCAAGCGUUGUCCGGAAUUAUUGGGCGUAAAGAGCUCGUAGGCGGUUUGUCGCGUCUGCUGUGAAAACCCGAGGCUCAACCUCGGGCCUGCAGUGGGUACGGGCAGACUAGAGUGCGGUAGGGGAGAUUGGAAUUCCUGGUGUAGCGGUGGAAUGCGCAGAUAUCAGGAAGAACACCUAUGGCGAAGGCAGCUCUCUGGGACGGUACUGACGCUGAGACGCGAAAGCGUGGGGAGCGAACAGG
rnacentral:rRNA from 1 species